rnacentral:rRNA from 1 species
UUAUUGGGCGUAAGAGCUCGUAGGCGGUUUGUCGCGUCUGCCGUGAAAGUCCGGGGCUCAACUCCGGAUCUGCGGUGGGUACGGGCAGACUAGAGUGAUGUAGGGGAGACUGGAAUUCCUGGUGUAGCGGUGAAAUGCGCAGAUAUCAGGAGGAACACCGAUGGCGAAGGCAGGUCUCUGGGCAUUAACUGACGCUGAGGAGCGAAAGCAUGGGGAGCGAACAGGAUUAGAUACCCUGGUAGUCCAUGCCGUAAACGUUGGGCACUAGGUGUGGGGGACAUUCCACGUUUUCCGCGCCGUAGCUAACGCAUUAAGUGCCCCGCCUGGGGAGUACGGCCGCAAGGCUAAAACUCAAAGGAAUUGACGGGGGCCCGCACAAGCGGCGGAGCAUGCGGAUUAAUUCGAUGCAACGCGAAGAACCUUACCAAGGCUUGACAUGGACUGGAAAUACCUGGAAACAGGUGCCCCGCUUGCGGUCGGUUCACAGGUGGUGCAUGGUUGUCGUCAGCUCGUGUCGUGAGAUGUUGGGUUAAGUCCCGCAACGAGCGCAACCCUCGUUCUAUGUUGCCAGCGCGUUAUGGCGGGGACUCAUAGGAGACUGCCGGGGUCAACUCGGAGGAAGGUGGGGACGACGUCAAAUCAUCAUGCCCCUUAUGUCUUGGGCUUCACGCAUGCUACAAUGGCCGGUACAAAGGGUUGCGAUACUGUGAGGUGGAGCUAAUCCCAAAAAGCCGGUCUCAGUUCGGAUUGGGGUCUGCAACUCGACCCCAUGAAGUCGGAGUCGCUAGUAAUCGCAGAUCAGCAACGCUGCGGUGAAUACGUUCCCGGGCCUUGUACACACCGCCCGUCAAGUCACGAAAGUUGGUAACACCCGAAGCCGGUGGCCUAACCCCUUGUGGGAGGGAGCUGUCGAAGUGGGACUG